rnacentral:rRNA from 1 species
ACGGGAGGCAGCAGUGGGGGAUAUUGCACAAUGGGGGCAACCCUGAUGCGGCGACGCCGCGUGAGUGAAGAAGUAUUUCGGUAUGUAAAGCUCUAUCAGCAGGGAAGAAAAUGACGGUACCUGACUAAGAAGCUCCGGCUAAAUACGUGCCAGCAGCCGCGGUACUACGUAUGGAGCAAGCGUUAUCCGGAUUUACUGGGUGUAAAGGGAGCGUAGACGGCGAGGCAAGUCUGAUGUGAAAGCCAUGGGCUCAACCCAUGAACUGCAUUGGAAACUGUCUUGCUUGAGUGUCGGAGAGGUAAGCGGAAUUCCUAGUGUAGCGGUGAAAUGCGUAGAUAUUAGGAGGAACACCAGUGGCGAAGUCGGCUUACUGGACGAUAACUGACGUUGAGGCUCGAAAGCGUGGGGAGCAAACAGGAUUAGAUACCCUGGUA